rnacentral:rRNA from 1 species
AAAAGAGUCGAGCGAAUGGAUUGAGAGCUUGCUCUCAUGAAGUUAGCGGCGGACGGGUGAGUAACACGUGGGUAACCUGCCCAUAAGACUGGGAUAACUCCGGGAAACCGGGGCUAAUACCGGAUAACAUUUUGAACUGCAUGGUUCGAAAUUGAAAGGCGGCUUCGGCUGUCACUUAUGGAUGGACCCGCGUCGCAUUAGCUAGUUGGUGAGGUAACGGCUCACCAAGGCAACGAUGCGUAGCCGACCUGAGAGGGUGAUCGGCCACACUGGGACUGAGACACGGCCCAGACUCCUACGGGAGGCAGCAGUAGGGAAUCUUCCGCAAUGGACGAAAGUCUGACGGAGCAACGCCGCGUGAGUGAUGAAGGCUUUCGGGUCGUAAAACUCUGUUGUUAGGGAAGAACAAGUGCUAGUUGAAUAAGCUGGCACCUUGACGGUACCUAACCAGAAAGCCACGGCUAACUACGUGCCAGCAGCCGCGGUAAUACGUAGGUGGCAACCGUUAUCCGGAAUUAUUGGGCGUAAAGCGCGCGCAGGUGGUUUCUUUAAUCUGAUGUGAAAGCCCAGGGGUCAACCCUGGAGGGGCAUUGGAAACCGGGAAACUUUACAGCAGAAGGCGGGAAGGCGCUUUCCAGUGGUGGCCGGUCAAUGUCUGCG